rnacentral:rRNA from 1 species
CCUACGGGAGGCAGCAGUGAGGAAUAUUGGUCAAUGGGCGCGAGCCUGAACCAGCCAAGUCGCGUGAAGGAUGACUGCCCUACGAGUUGUAACCUUCUUUUUUAAAGAAAUAAAGUAAGGCACGUGUCCCUUUUUGACUGUACUAUAUGAAUCCGGCUCGGCUAACUCCAUGCCAGCAGCCGCGGUAAUACGGAGGAUCCGAGCGUUAUCGGGAUUUAGUGGGUGUAAAGGGAGCGUAGGUGGGUUGUUAAGUCAGUUGUGAAAUUUUGCGGCUUAACCGUAAAAUUGCAAUUGAAACUGGCAGUCUUGAGUACGGUAGAGGUAGGUGGAAUUCGUGGUGUAGCGGUGAAAUGCGUAGAUAUCAAGAAGAAUUCCGAUUGCGAAGGCAGCUCACUGGAAUACAACUGACGCUGAGGCUCGAAAGUGUGGGUAUCAAACAGGAUUAGAUACCCGUGUAGUC